UCAAACGCUAACAACCGCUAC
rnacentral:siRNA from 1 species